GAUGAACGCUAGCUACAGGCUUAACACAUGCAAGUCGAGGGGAAACGACAUCGAAAGCUUGCUUUUGAUGGGCGUCGACCGGCGCACGGGUGAGUAACGCGUAUCCAACCUGCCCAUCACUUGGGAAUAACCUUGCGAAAGUAAGACUAAUACCCAAUGACAUCCCACGAAGACAUCUGAAUGGGAUUAAAGAUUUAUCGGUGAUGGAUGGGGAUGCGUCUGAUUAGCUUGUUGGCGGGGUAACGGCCCACCAAGGCAACGAUCAGUAGGGGUUCUGAGAGGAAGGUCCCCCACAUUGGAACUGAGACACGGUCCAAACUCCUACGGGAGGCAGCAGUGAGGAAUAUUGGUCAAUGGGCGAGAGCCUGAACCAGCCAAGUAGCGUGCAGGAUGACGGCCCUAUGGGUUGUAAACUGCUUUUAUAAGGGAAUAAAGUGGGUCUCGUGAGACUUUUUGCAUGGACCGUAGGAAUAAGGACCGGCGAAUUCCGU
rnacentral:rRNA from 1 species